rnacentral:rRNA from 1 species
UCUGACUNGAGUGCAGAAGGGGAGAGUGGAAUUCCAUGUGUAGCGGUGAAAUGCGUAGAUAUAUGGAGGAACACCAGUGGCGAAAGCGGCUCUCUGGUCUGUCACUGACGCUGAGGCUCGAAAGCGUGGGUAGCGAACAGGAUUAGAUACCCUGGUAGUNCACGCCGUAAACGAUGAGUGCUAGGUGUUAGGCCCUUUCCGGGGCUUAGUGCCGGAGCUAACGCAAUAAGCACUCCGCCUGGGGAGUACGACCGCAAGGUUGAAACUCAAAGGAAUUGACGGGGGCCCGCACAAGCGGUGGAGCAUGUGGUUUAAUUCGAAGCAACGCGAAGAACCUUACCAGGUCUUGACAUCCCGAUGCUAUUCUUAGAGAUAGGAAGUUACUUCGGUACAUCGGAGACAGGUGGUGCAUGGUUGUCGUCAGCUCGUGUCGUGAGAUGUUGGGUUAAGUCCCGCAACGAGCGCAACCCUUAUUGUUAGUUGCCAUCAUUAAGUUGGGCACUCUAGCGAGACUGCCGGUAAUAAACCGGAGGAAGGUGGGGAUGACGUCAAAUCAUCAUGCCCCUUAUGACCUGGGCUACACACGUGCUACAAUGGUCGGUACAACGAGUUGCGAGCCGGUGACGGCAAGCUAAUCUCUGAAAGCCGAUCUCAGUUCGGAUUGGAGGCUGCAACUCGCCUCCAUGAAGUCGGAAUCGCUAGUAAUCGCGGAUCAGCACGCCGCGGUGAAUACGUUCCCGGGCCUUGUACACACCGCCCGUCACACCACGAGAGUUUGUAACACCCGAAGUCG